AUCACUUUCAACACCAACAUGCUCUCUGUAUCUCUGCUGCUGCUGGCUGCUGCAUGCUGUGUGAAGUGUGAACAGCUGACACAACCAGCCUCUUUGACCGUGCAGCCAGGUCAGACUCUGAGCAUCAGCUGUCAGGUUUCUUAUGAUCUAUCCAGCUAUCAUACACACUGGAUCCGACAACCUGCAGGAAAAGCACCUGAAUGGAUGGGUGUUAUUUGGCAUAAUGGAGGUAACGCUUAUGCCACCAAUGUCGGAGGGCGUAUAGAAAUCACCAGGAACACGAAUGAGAAGAUUGUGUAUCUCAGUCUGUCUGCCAUGAAACCAGAAGAGUCUGCUGUGUAUUACUGUGCCGGAGACACACAGUGGUUAAUGUGA